AUCGGGAGAGUGAAACGCACGUUCGUUGUGCGGGUUCACGCCGAAGGAGCAACCUCCCCGGAAUCUCUCAGGCACAAGGACCGAUACGG
rnacentral:ncRNA from 1 species